GAUGAACGCUGGCGGCGUGCUUAACACAUGCAAGUCGAACGGAAAGGCCAGUGCUUGCACUGGUACUCGAGUGGCGAACGGGUGAGUAACACGUGGGUGAUCUGCCCUGUACUUCGGGAUAAGCUUGGGAAACUGGGUCUAAUACCGGAUAGGACAACUUUUUGGAUAUUGUUGUGGAAAGCUUUUGCGGUAUGGGAUGAGCUCGCGGCCUAUCAGCUUGUUGGUGGGGUAAUGGCCUACCAAGGCGUCGACGGGUAGCCGGCCUGAGAGGGUGUACGGCCACAUUGGGACUGAGAUACGGCCCAGACUCCUACGGGAGGCAGCAGUGGGGAAUAUUGCACAGUGGGCGCAAGCCUGAUGCAGCGACGCCGCGUGGGGGAUGAAGGCCUUCGGGUUGUAAACUCCUUUCGCUAGGGACGAAGCUUUUUUGUGACGGUACCUGGAGAAGAAGCACCGGCUAACUACGUG
rnacentral:rRNA from 1 species